UUGUAGCUUACAGACAGGCAGGGU
rnacentral:misc_RNA from 1 species